AUUGAACGCUGGCGGCAGGCUUAACACAUGCAAGUCGAGCGGAGAUGAGGUGCUUGCACCUUAUCUUAGCGGCGGACGGGUGAGUAAUGCUUAGGAAUCUGCCUAUUAGUGGGGGACAACAGUCCGAAAGGAAUGCUAAUACCGCAUACGCCCUACGGGGGAAAGCAGGGGAUCUUCGGACCGUGCGCUAAUAGAUGAGCCUAAGUCGGAUUAGCUAGUUGGUGGGGUAAAGGCCUACCAAGGCGACGAUCGGUAGCGGGUCUGAGAGGAUGAUCCGCCACACUGGGACUGAGACACGGCCCAGACUCCUACGGGAGGCAGCAGUGGGGAAUAUUGGACAAUGGGCGGAAGCCUGAUCCAGCCAUGCCGCGUGUGUGAAGAAGGCCUUUUGGUUGUAAAGCACUUUAAGCGAGGAGGAGGCUACCUGGAUUAAUACUCUAGGAUAGUGGACGUUACUCGCAGAAUAAGCACCGGCUAACUCUGUGCCAGCAGCCGCGGUAACAC
rnacentral:rRNA from 1 species